CCUGCCAGUAGUCAUAUGCUUGUCUCAAAGAUUAAGCCAUGCAUGUCCAAGUAUAAGCAAUUAUACGGCGAAACUGCGAAUGGCUCAUUAUAUCAGCUAUAGUCUAUUUGAUAGAACCAAUACUACAUGGAUAACCGUGGUAAUUCUAGAGCUAAUACAUGCAACAAACCUCGACUUUUGGAAGAGGUGUAUUUAUUAGAUAAAACCAACGCCGGGCUUUGGCUCGGCUUUUUGGGUGAUUCAUAAUAACUGUUCGAAUCGUAUGUCUUUUUGACGACGAUAGAUCAUUCGAAUAUCUGCCCUAUCAACUUUUGAUGGUAGGAUAGAGGCCUACCAUGGUGUCAACGGGUAACGGGGAAUUAGGGUUUGAUUCCGGAGAAAGAGCCUGAGAAACGGCUCUUACAUCCAAGGAAGGCAGCAGGCGCGCAAAUUACCCAAUCUCGAUACGAGGAGGUAGUGACAAGAAAUAACAAUGCUGGGCCCAAUGGGUCUAGCAAUUGGAAUGAGUACAAUGUAAACACCUUAACGAGGAACAAUUGGAGGGCAAGUCUGGUGCCAGCAGCUGCGGUAAUUCCAGCUCCAAUAGCGUAUAUUAAAGUUGUUGCAGUUAAAAAGCUCGUAGUCGAAACUCGAGGUACCAAAGGACGAGGGGUUGCCGGGUGGGUAAUUGGUUGAAAGAUUAGUUACUGGCCCGGGUCAAACAGCCCUUUUAUCGCUCCUAUUGGGCCUGAAUUAAUUCUAGCUGUGUUCGUGCUCUUUAUUGAGUGCGGACCACGGUUGGAACGAUUACCUUGAAGAAAUUAGAGUGUUCAAAGCAGGCAUUUUGCUCGAAUACAUUAGCAUGGAAUAAUAGAAUAGGACUCGACCUUUAUUGUUGGUUUUAGAGGUCGAGUAAUGAUUAAUAGGAACGGUCGGGGGCAUUCGUAUUGUCGUGUCAGGAGUGAAAUCUGUUGACCACGAUUGGACGAACUAAUGCGAAGGCAUUUGUCAAGGACGUUUCCAUUGAUCAAGAACGAAAGUUAGGGGAUCGAAGACGAUUAGAUACCGUCGUAGUCUUAACCGUAAACGAUGCCGACUAGGGAUUCGACGAUAGUCAAUUGGGACACGUCGAGCACCUUGUGAGAAAUCAAAGUUUUUGGGUUCUGGGGGGAGUAUUGUCGCAAGGCUGAAACUUGAAGGAAUUGACGGGAG
rnacentral:rRNA from 1 species